UUGUCCGUUAUAAGCGCAUCUGUGGCCUGCGUUUAUCACAAACUCUUUGAAAGUACUAGAAUGUAAUAUUGGGAUAUAAUAGAUCUAUAUACAACUUUCAGCAACGGAUCUCUUGGCUCUCGCAUCGAUGAAGAACGCAGCGAAAUGCGAUAAGUAAUGUGAAUUGCAGAAUUCAGUGAAUCAUCGAAUCUUUGAACGCACCUUGCGCUCC
rnacentral:rRNA from 1 species